UACGGAGGGUGCAAGCGUUAAUCGGAAUUACUGGGCGUAAAGCGCACGCAGGUGGCUGAGUCAGUCGAUUGUGAAAUCCCCGGGCUUAACCUGGGAACUGCAUUUGUGACUGCAUCGCUGGAGUGCGGCAGAGGGGGAUGGAAUUCCGCGUGUAGCAGUGAAAUGCGUAGAUAUGCGGAGGAACACCGAUGGCGAAGGCAAUCCCCUGGGCCUGCACUGACGCUCAUGCACGAAAGCGUGGGGAGCAAACAGG
rnacentral:rRNA from 1 species